UACGUAGGGUGCGAGCGUUGUCCGGAAUUAUUGGGCGUAAAGAGCUUGUAGGCGGUUUGUCGCGUCUGCUGUGAAAUUUCGGGGCUCAACCCCGAACUUGCAGUGGGUACGGGCAGACUAGAGUGUGGUAGGGGAGACUGGAAUUCUUGGUGUAGCGGUGAAAUGCACAGAUAUCAGGAGGAACACCGAUGGCGAAGGCAGGUCUCUGGGCCACUACUGACGCUGAGAAGCGAAAGCAUGGGGAGCGAACAGG
rnacentral:rRNA from 1 species